CAGAGGGUGCAAGCGUUAAUCGGAUUUACUGGGCGUAAAGCGUGCGUAGGCGGUUCAUUAAGUCGGUUGUGAAAUCCCUGGGCUUAACCUGGGAACUGCAGUCGAUACUGGUGAACUAGAAUGCGGUAGAGGGUGGCGGAACUCCGGGUGUAGCGGUGAAAUGCGUAGAUAUCUGGAGGAACACCGGUGGCGAAGGCGGCAUCCUGGACCAACACUGACGCUGAGGAGCGAAAGCCAGGGGAGCAAACGGG
rnacentral:rRNA from 1 species